AUUGAACGCUGGCGGUAUGCUUAACACAUGCAAGUCGAACGGUAACAGGCCUUCGGGCGCUGACGAGUGGCGGACGGGUGAGUAACGCGUAGGAAUCUGCCUUAUAGUGGGGGACAACGUGGGGAAACUCACGCUAAUACCGCAUACGCCCUACGGGGGAAAGCGGGGGAUCGUAAGACCUCGCGCUAUGAGAUGAGCCUGCGUUAGAUUAGCUAGUUGGUAGGGUAAAGGCCUACCAAGGCGACGAUCUAUAGCUGGUCUGAGAGGACGAUCAGCCACACUGGGACUGAGACACGGCCCAGACUCCUACGGGAGGCAGCAGUGGGGAAUAUGGACAAUGGGCGAAAGCCUGAUGCAGCAACGCCGCGUGUGCGAUGAAGGCCUU
rnacentral:rRNA from 1 species